CUUAGACAAUGACCAUGACACUUGGAUUUAAAUAAGAAAUGAGUUUGACUCUUCGCACAGUUCCAUCCACUACGUAGGACAAAGUAUUGAAUUAAAUUCAUGAAAAUCACACGACCAUUCACACCAGUUUAGCUCGGAUCAUCUAGUUUUUAACUUGUCUCUGCAAUGGGUUGUCUUUCGGGUCAGAGACAACCUGCAAAAACAUCUUAGUACUUUUAAGAUUUAAUUCUGUGACUGCAAGUAAAAAUGCUCCUCCCCUUCCUUCUGCUAAUCUUCGUACUUUUCUCCGUAAUUAUUUUCUGUUUCUACUUGUGGCUCAAAUUGUACAACUUAUUAUUUGGAACGUACGAGGAAAAACAUCGACUUCCAACUCACAUUACUAUCCAGAGGAAGCCGCCUACUCAAGCUAACCACAGGUCGACAAAAUUAAAGGUUCAGUCCUUCCGAUGCAAUCCUAAGGGUAAUCACAAACGGAAGCACAAGCGGUCUCUCCCCACAAUUCUGGAAACUACGAUAAGCAUUGACGAAGGAACAGACAUGAGUACCAGCAGCUCUUCAUCUUUUGAUAACUCAUUCCAAAAUUCGAAUAAUUUGACAUUCGCGUUGGCCGACUUGGAGAAUCAGAGUGUGUCUUUUUCAACACACAAGAGUGAAAAACGGUACUUGGUGUGAACAUCGGGUUUGUAAUACAAACCUAAUACAAACUUUGUAUCCUGAUACACGUACUUAUGUACAGGACAUUUGUAAUAUUUCUCUCCUGAGCUUAAACUAUCAACUUUUUAUCAUUUUAAUCUGAUUGUGAUACGGUAAAAGAAAAUCUGAUGGACUUACUCGAUGGUUCCUAUUUUUGAAGGCCAAUUCACAUGCACACGCAACUAUUGCCCAUACUAUAUGCAUCAAUGCAUGUACAUACAUACAUUAUCAUCACAGUUUUUGGGAGUGCAUUAAAAAAAGCCAAAAGCUGCAGAAUAUAGACUUAUUUAUCUUGCAAGUAUUCAAAUAAUUGGUACAGAGAUGCCUAGAAGGUGGGAAAAUCUUGUCACUACAUAACUAAUCAUGUAUUUAAAGCUUAAUGAUACUAAAAAUAAAAUGAAAAAUAAGGUUUCUGUAA